rnacentral:rRNA from 1 species
UACGUAGGUGACAAGCGUUAUCCGGAUUUAUUGGGCGUAAAGCGCACGCAGGCGGCUGAUUAAGUCUGACGUGAAAUCUCUCGGCUUAACCGGGAGCGGUCGUUGGAAACUAAUUGGCUUGAGGCGAUGAGAGGGGGGUGUGGAAUUCCCGGUGUAGUGGUGGAAUGCGUAGAUAUCGGGAGGAACAUCAGUGGCGAAAGCGGCACCCUGGCAUUUGCCUGACGCU